UACAUACUCCCUCCGUUCCAAAAUUCUUGUCUUCGAUUUGCCUAAAUACGGAUGUAUCUAAUCAUGUUUUAGUGUUCUAAACAAAUGUAAGACAAGAAUUUUGGGACGGAGGUAAUACAUU
rfam:Triticum aestivum genome assembly, contig: Triticum_aestivum_CS42_TGACv1_scaffold_221185_3B